AGCUCCAAGAGCGUAUAUUAAAGUUGUUGCAGUUAAAAAGUUCGUAGUUGGAUUUCUGGUACAACGCGCCUGGCCCGCUUUUGUGAGUGCCGGUGCGCGUUUGCCAUCCUUCUAGAAAACGUUUCUACCCGGGUAACUGGGCCGGACUCGCGAUCUAGAUCUUUUACUUUGAAAAAAUUAGAGUGUUUAAAGCAGGCCUUUGCUGUGAAUACAUUAGCAUGGAAUAAUAAUCUAGGACUUCGGUUCUAUUUUGUUGGUUUCUAGUACUGAAGUAAUGAUUGAUAGGGAUAGUUGGGGGUGCUAGUAUUGGCCGGCCAGAGGUGAAAUUCUUGGAUUCGGUCAAGACUAACUUAUGCGAAAGCAUUCACCAAGGAUGUCUUCUUUAAUCAAGAACGAAAGU
rnacentral:rRNA from 1 species